CCUACGGGAGGCUGCAGUAGGGAAUCUUCCACAAUGGGCGAAAGCCUGAUGGCGCAACGCCGCGUGGGUGAAGAAGGUCUUCGGAUCGUAAAACCCUGUUGUUAGAGAAGAAAGUGCGUGAGAGUAACUGUUCACGUUUCGACGGUAUCUAACCAGAAAGCCACGGCUAACUACGUGCCAGCAGCCGCGGUAAUACGUAGGUGGCAAGCGUUAUCCGGAUUUAUUGGGCGUAAAGGGAACGCAGGCGGUCUUUUAAGUCUGAUGUGAAAGCCUUCGGCUUAACCGGAGUAGUGCAUUGGAAACUGGGAGACGUGAGUGCAGAAGAGGAGAGUGGAACUCCAUGUGUAGCGGUGAAAUGCGUAGAUAUAUGGAAGAACACCAGUGGCGAAAGCGGCUCUCUGGUCUGUAACUGACGCUGAGGUUCGAAAGCGUGGGUAGCAAACAGGAUUAGAUACCCUUGUAGUC
rnacentral:rRNA from 1 species